CACGUAGGGUGCGAGCGUUGUCCGGAAUUAUUGGGCGUAAAGAGCUCGUAGGCGGUGUGUCGCGUCGGCCGUGAAAACCUGCAGCUUAACUGUGGGCUUGCGGUCGAUACGGGCAUCACUGGAGUUCGGCAGGGGAGACUGGAAUUCCUGGUGUAGCGGUGAAAUGCGCAGAUAUCGGGAGGAACACCAGCGGCGAAGGCGGCACUCUGGGCUGGAACUGACGCUGAGGAGCGAAAGCGUGGGUAGCAAACAGG
rnacentral:rRNA from 1 species